CUCAGGGCCAGGGUUUCUGGAUGAGCCAGUGUAAAAUUGGAACGAUACAGAGAUGAUUAGCAUGGUCCCUGCACAAUGAUGACACACAAAUUCUUGAAGCAUUCCAUU